rnacentral:misc_RNA from 1 species
AACGCACCUUGCGCCCCUUGGUCAUUCCGAUGGGCAUGCCUGUUUGAGUAUCAUGAACACCUCAACUCUCAUGGUUUUCCAUGACGAGCUUGGACUGUGGAGGAUUUGUUGGCCUGUGGUCAGCUCCUCUCAAAUGAAUCAGCUUACCAGUGUUUGGUGGCAUCACGAGUGUGAUAACUAUCUGCGCUCGCUGCUGUCUCCAAGCAACCUCCAUCCCUGGAGGUUCGCUGGAGCUCACAAACGUCUCUCCUUGGCGAAGACAGCAUUUUUUGACGUUCGAUCUCAAAUCAGGUAGGACUACCCGCUGAACUUAA